CUUCUGCUGAGGAGUCCCACAAUAGGACGAAACGGUUGUCCAGUGC
rnacentral:hammerhead_ribozyme from 1 species